UCCCUGGUGGCUUAGAUGGUAAAGAAUCUGCCUGCAAUGCAGGCGACCCAGGUUCAAUCCCUGAUUUGGGAA
rnacentral:tRNA from 1 species